GCGAUCACCUUAGCAGCACAUAUACUAAAAUUAGAAUGCUACAGAGAAGAUUAGCAUGGCCCUUGAGCAAGGAUGAUACACAAAUUCAUGAAAUGUUCCAUAGUUUU
rnacentral:snRNA from 1 species